AGGGAUUGCCCUAGUAACGGCGAGUGAAGCGGCAACAGCUCAAAUUUGAAAUCUGGCCUCGGCCCGAGUUGUAAUUUGCAGAGGAAGCUUUAGGCGCGGCACCUUCUGAGUCCCCUGGAACGGGGCGCCAUAGAGGGUGAGAGCCCCGUAUAGUUGGAUGCCUAGCCUGUGUAAAGCUCCUUCGACGAGUCGAGUAGUUUGGGAAUGCUGCUCAAAAUGGGAGGUAAAUUUCUUCUAAAGCUAAAUACCGGCCAGAGACCGAUAGCGCACAAGUAGAGUGAUCGAAAGAUGAAAAGCACUUUGAAAAGAGGGUUAAAUAGCACGUGAAAUUGUUGAAAGGGAAGCGCUUGUGACCAGACUUGCGCCGGGCUGAUCAUCCGGUGUUCUCACCGGUGCACUCUGCCCGGCUCAGGCCAGCAUCGGUUCUCGCGGGGGGAUAAAGGCCCAGGGAACGUAGCUCCUCCGGGAGUGUUAUAGCCCUGGGUGCAAUGCCCUCGCGGGGACCGAGGUUCGCGCAUCUGCAAGGAUGCUGGCGUAAUGGUCACCAGCGACCCGUCUUGAAACACGGACCAAGGAGUCAAGGUUUUGCGCGAGUGUUUGGGUGUAAAACCCGCACGCGUAAUGAAAGUGAACGUAGGUGAGAGCUUCGGCGCAUCAUCGACCGAUCCUGAUGUUUUCGGAUGGAUUUGAGUAGGAGCGUUAAGCCUUGGACCCGAAAGAUGGUGAACUAUGCUUGGAUAGGGUGAAGCCAGAGGAAACUCUGGUGGAGGCUCGCAGCGGUUCUGACGUGCAAAUCGAUCGUCAAAUCUGAGCAUGGGGGCGAAAGACUAAUCGAACCAUC
rnacentral:rRNA from 1 species